UACGUAGGGCGCAAGCGUUAUCCGGAAUUAUUGGGCGUAAAGAGCUCGUAGGCGGUUUGUCGCGUCUGCCGUGAAAGUCCGGGGCUCAACUCCGGAUCUGCGGUGGGUACGGGCAGACUAGAGUGAUGUAGGGGGAGACUGGAAUUCCUGGUGUAGCGGUGAAAUGCGCAGAUAUCAGGAGGAACACCGGUGGCGAAGGCGGGUCUCUGGGCCGAUACUGACGCUGAGGCGCGAAAGCGUGGGGAGCAAACAGG
rnacentral:rRNA from 1 species